UACGGAGGGUGCGAGCGUUGUCCGGAAUCACUGGGCGUAAAGGGCGCGUAGGCGGCCUGAUAAGUAGGGGGUGAAAUCCUGCGGCUUAACCGCAGGGCUGCCUUCUAAACUGUCAGGCUAGAGCACGGUAGAGGCAGAUGGAAUUCCCGGUGUAGCGGUGGAAUGCGUAGAGAUCGGGAAGAACACCAGUGGCGAAGGCGGCUCACUGGCCCGGUACUGACGCUGAGGUGCGAAAGCGUGGGGAGCAAACAGG
rnacentral:rRNA from 1 species